GAGUUUGAUUAUGGCUCAGGAUGAACGCUGGCGGCGUGCUUAACACAUGCAAGUCGAACGGGCGAAUUAUAUCGGAGGUCUUCGGGCCGAAGAGAUAAUAAGCUAGUGGCGGACGGGUGCGUAACGUGUGGGUAAUCUGCCUUUGUCAUAGGAAUAACUGCUUGAAAAAGUAGCUAAUACCAAAUAACAUAUCGUAUAGGCAUCUAUAAGAUAUCAAAGAGAAAUCGGACAAAGAUGAGCCCGCAUCUGAUUAGCUGGUUGGUAGGGUAAAAGCCUACCAAGGCGACGAUCAGUAGCCGGCCUGAGAGGGUGAACGGCCACAUUGGAACUGAGACACGGUCCAAACUCCUACGGGAGGCAGCAGUGGGGAAUAUUGCACAAUGGGGGGAACCCUGAUGCAGCAACGCCGCGUGAGUGAAGAAGGCUUUCGAGUCGUAAAAACUUCUGUUGUAAGGGAAGAUAAUGANCCGUCCCUAAAGACGCC
rnacentral:rRNA from 1 species